GACGAACGCUGGCGGCGUGCUUAACACAUGCAAGUCGAACGGAAAGGCCCUGCUUUUGUGGGGUGCUCGAGUGGCGAACGGGUGAGUAACACGUGAGUAACCUGCCCUUGACUUUGGGAUAACUUCAGGAAACUGGGGCUAAUACCGGAUAGGAGCUCCUGCUGCAUGGUGGGGGUUGGAAAGAUUCGGCGGUUGGGGAUGGACUCGCGGCGUAUCAGCUUGAUGGUGGGGUAGUGGCUUACCAAGGCUUUGACGGGUAGCCGGCCUGAGAGGGUGACCGGCCACAUUGGGACUGAGAUACGGCCCAGACUCCUACGGGAGGCAGCAGUGGGGAAUAUUGCACAAUGGGCGGAAGCCUGAUGCAGCAACGCCGCGUGCGGGAUGACGGCCUUCGGGUUGUAAACCGCUUUCGCCUGUGACGAAGCGUGAGUGACGGUAAUGGGUAAAGAAGCACCGGCUAACUACGUG
rnacentral:rRNA from 1 species